rnacentral:rRNA from 1 species
GACGAACCGUACGAACGUUAUUCGGAAUUACUGGGCUUAAAGGGUGCGUAGGCUGCGCGAAAAGUUGGGUGUGAAAGCCCUCGGCUCAACCGAGGAAUUGCAUUCAAAACUAUCGUGCUCGAGGGAGACAGAGGUAAGCGGAACUCAAGGUGGAGCGGUGAAAUGCGUUGAUAUCUUGAGGAACACCGGUGGCGAAGGCGGCUUACUGGUCUUUUCUGACGCUGAGGCACGAAAGCCAAGGUAGCAAACGGGAUUAGAUACCCCGGUAGUCUUGGCUGUAAACGAUGAGCACUUGAUUGAAGGGUCCUCCAUAGCCUUUCAGUCGUAGCGAAAGUGUUAAGUGCUCCGCCUGGGGAGUAUGGUCGCAAGGCUG